rnacentral:rRNA from 1 species
UACAGAGGUGGCAAGCGUUGUUCGGAAUUACUGGGCGUAAAGGGCGCGUAGGCGGCCUUCUAAGUCAGACGUGAAAUCCCCCGGCUUAACCUGGGAACUGCGUCGGAUACCGGAUGGCUUGAAUUCGGGAGAGGGAUGCAGAAUUCCAGGUGUAGCGGUGAAAUGCGUAGAUAUCUGGAGGAAUACCGGUGGCGAAGGCGGCAUCCUGGACCGACAUUGACGCUGAGGAGCGAAAGCUAGGGGAGCAAACGGG